rnacentral:tRNA from 1 species
AGCCUCGUAGCUCAAUUGGCCAGAUCGUUAGCUGUACUAAAGCCUUUCCUUUGCUGGUGUGGGUUUGAAUCCCACCGAGGCCG